GCUGCCCAUUUUGGUUGAAGGGCUAACUAGGGACUAACAUGUGGGCUUACCUGGGGAGGCAUUAGUGCUGUCACUAAAGUAUGUUCUUUCAAUAGCACUGUCCCAUUUUUGUCCCAUUCACUCAUCCUACAAGAAAGCAAACCUGACAGCCUUAAGGAAGCGUGGAGAGCAGCUCUCUCUUCCCAGAGCUAAAGAUUUCUUUUCCUCUGUGUUUGCAAGAUCCCCUGCUACCAAAUCUCUCCAUUCUGGCCAUGGGAAUAAAUCCUGACCCUGGGAUGACUGAAGACUUGCUCUAGACCAUGGAAAGAGUAAACAAUGGCUGUGUUUGCACAGGGCAGGGUAAAUCAACUGUGCAGAGAGCAGAGCAGGGACAGCAAAUUAUAUAAGAAAAAGAUCUUCAUCCUGGGACAGGAAUAUUCAGGAAAAGAAAUGCUAUGCAGCUAUCUUAUGUUCUGUUUCCAAAGAGAGGCAAUUAGUAGUUCAACCAAGUAAUGAACAAUUUAAUUUCCCCUGUCUUCUAUAUGGCCACUGAAAUAUGUCCUGGGGACCCCAUGGAGCUGAGCACACAGUUUGGCUCCAGGACAUCACAGGGGAUGACACAUGGACAGCUAUGCAUCCUGGAACUUCCAUUUAGCACUUCUGCUUUACUUUUCACAGAUGGAAAGUCCCUCAUAGGAACUUCUCCUAGACCAGGCAGGACCUGCACCAAACCAGAUACAUACACUGACAGAGGGUUUGGAAUUGAUCAGUUGCUCUGAUCAUCCAUUAAGCUGUGUUCAGCACAUUGCCUUUAGAAGGAAGGGUAAGAUGAACUUCUGACCACAGAGACAGUACAGAUGUGAUGGGAAAAACAAGCCAGAAGGUUCAUGUCCAGCCGUGGCAAGCUGAGGUCCAACCAGGCACUACAAGUCCAAAGAAGAGUUUCUAGGAAGCAAAGUUGUUUUGUUUUUUGUAGAAGACACAGCAC